AACAAGGUUUUCGUUUGAUCCUUCCCGCCCGGUCCCCCAACUCCCCUUCCUCAGAGCACCUUUGAGGAUUUCUUGGGAUGGGGCCCGGUUCGAGACGCAUGGAAGCCUGAGUGGGGGUUGCUCGAUGGAAUGGGGGCAACCACAUGCUAGUGCUGGGCAUCCGUGCCUUGUGCGACGCCGUCAAUCUGCGGGGAAUGUCCUCCUCCGUGGUGCAAGGGUACCAAGCGCGAUGGCUCGUCGUUGAUGCACCGACGCGUGGUGCCGCGACAAGGAGAGCCUAGCGUGGCCGGGCUAGUGAGGCCUAAGGUAAGAACCCCUCACCAUUGGUCCGACCCGCAUCCAAGCCCUGCAAGUUCUGUCCUACAGGAUGUCGCAACUUGCGGGUGGGGUUCACAGACUAGAUGACGGCAGGCUCGUGCGCAUUGCGUGCACGGGGCUCAAGAUAUAGUCGGUCCGCCCAAGGCAAGAUCGCUUCUCUCCAAGGGAACUCGCCCGCAAGUGUAUUCACCGUUCCGUAG
rnacentral:ncRNA from 12 species